GGGUUGUGAGGUUAAGCGACUAAGCGUACACGGUGGAUGCCCUGGCAGUCAGAGGCGAUGAAGGACGUGCUAAUCUGCGAAAAGCGUCGGUAAGGUGAUAUGAACCGUUAUAACCGGCGAUGUCCGAAUGGGGAAACCCAGUGCAAUUCGUUGCACUAUCGUUAACUGAAUACAUAGGUUAACGAGGCGAACCGGGGGAACUGAAACAUCUAAGUACCCCGAGGAAAAGAAAUCAACCGAGAUUCCCCCAGUAGCGGCGAGCGAACGGGGAGCAGCCCAGAGUCUGAAUCAGCUUGUGUGUUAGUGGAACGGUCUGGAAAGUCCGACGGUACAGGGUGAUAGUCCCGUACACCAAAAUGCACAGGCUGUGAACUCGAAGAGUAGGGCGGGACACGUGGUAUCCUGUCUGAAUAUGGGGGGACCAUCCUCCAAGGCUAAAUACUCCUGACUGACCGAUAGUGAACCAGUACCGUGAGGGAAAGGCGAAAAGAACCCCGGCGAGGGGAGUGAAAAAGAACCUGAAACCGUGUACGUACAAGCAGUGGGAGCACCUUCGGGUGUGACUGCGUACCUUUUGUAUAAUGGGUCAGCGACUUAUAUUCUGUAGCAAGGUUAACCGUAUAGGGGAGCCGCAGGGAAACCGAGUCUUAACUGGGCGUUAAGUUGCAGGGUAUAGACCCGAAACCCGGUGAUCUAGCCAUGGGCAGGUUGAAGGUUGGGUAACACUAACUGGAGGACCGAACCGACUAAUGUUGAAAAAUUAGCGGAUGACUUGUGGCUGGGGGUGAAAGGCCAAUCAAACCGGGAGAUAGCUGGUUCUCCCCGAAAGCUAUUUAGGUAGCGCCUCGUGAACUCAUCUUCGGGGGUAGAGCACUGUUUCGGCUAGGGGGUCAUCCCGACUUACCAACCCGAUGCAAACUACGAAUACCGAAGAAUGUUAUCACGGGAGACACACGGCGGGUGCUAACGUCCGUCGUGAAGAGGGAAACAACCCAGACCGCCAGCUAAGGUCCCAAAGUCAUGGUUAAGUGGGAAACGAUGUGGGAAGGCACAGACAGCCAGGAUGUUGGCUUAGAAGCAGCCAUCAUUUAAAGAAAGCGUAAUAGCUCACUGGUCGAGUCGGCCUGCGCGGAAGAUGUAACGGGGCUAAACCAUGCACCGAAGCUGCGGCAGCGACACUAUGUGUUGUUGGGUAGGGGAGCGUUCUGUAAGCCUGCGAAGGUGACCUGUGAGGGUUGCUGGAGGUAUCAGAAGUGCGAAUGCUGACAUAAGUAACGAUAAAGCGGGUGAAAAGCCCGCUCGCCGGAAGACCAAGGGUUCCUGUCCAACGUUAAUCGGGGCAGGGUGAGUCGACCCCUAAGGCGAGGCCGAAAGGCGUAGUCGAUGGGAAACAGGUUAAUAUUCCUGUACUUGGUGUUACUGCGAAGGGGGGACGGAGAAGGCUAUGUUAGCCGGGCGACGGUUGUCCCGGUUUAAGCAUGUAGGCUGGUUAUCCAGGCAAAUCCGGAUAAUCAAGGCUGAGGUGUGAUGACGAGGUACUACGGUGCUGAAGUAACAAAUGCCCUGCUUCCAGGAAAAGCCUCUAAGCAUCAGGUAACAUUAAAUCGUACCCCAAACCGACACAGGUGGUCAGGUAGAGAAUACCAAGGCGCUUGAGAGAACUCGGGUGAAGGAACUAGGCAAAAUGGUGCCGUAACUUCGGGAGAAGGCACGCUGGUGUGUAGGUGAAGUCCCUGCGGAUGGAGCUGAGACCAGUCGAAGAUACCAGCUGGCUGCAACUGUUUAUUAAAAACACAGCACUGUGCAAACACGAAAGUGGACGUAUACGGUGUGACGCCUGCCCGGUGCCGGAAGGUUAAUUGAUGGGGUUAUCCGUAAGGAGAAGCUCUUGAUCGAAGCCCCGGUAAACGGCGGCCGUAACUAUAACGGUCCUAAGGUAGCGAAAUUCCUUGUCGGGUAAGUUCCGACCUGCACGAAUGGCGUAAUGAUGGCCAGGCUGUCUCCACCCGAGACUCAGUGAAAUUGAACUCGCUGUGAAGAUGCAGUGUACCCGCGGCAAGACGGAAAGACCCCGUGAACCUUUACUAUAGCUUGACACUGAACAUUGAGCCUUGAUGUGUAGGAUAGGUGGGAGGCUUUGAAGCGUGGACGCCAGUCUGCGUGGAGCCAACCUUGAAAUACCACCCUUUAAUGUUUGAUGUUCUAACGUUGGCCCCUGACCGGGGUUGCGGACAGUGUCUGGUGGGUAGUUUGACUGGGGCGGUCUCCUCCCAAAGCGUAACGGAGGAGCACGAAGGUUAGCUAAUCCUGGUCGGACAUCAGGAGGUUAGUGCAAUGGCAUAAGCUAGCUUGACUGCGAGCGUGACGGCGCGAGCAGGUGCGAAAGCAGGUCAUAGUGAUCCGGUGGUUCUGAAUGGAAGGGCCAUCGCUCAACGGAUAAAAGGUACUCCGGGGAUAACAGGCUGAUACCGCCCAAGAGUUCAUAUCGACGGCGGUGUUUGGCACCUCGAUGUCGGCUCAUCACAUCCUGGGGCUGAAGUAGGUCCCAAGGGUAUGGCUGUUCGCCAUUUAAAGUGGUACGCGAGCUGGGUUUAGAACGUCGUGAGACAGUUCGGUCCCUAUCUGCCGUGGGCGCUGGAGAAUUGAGGGGGGCUGCUCCUAGUACGAGAGGACCGGAGUGGACGCAUCACUGGUGUUCGGGUUGUCAUGCCAAUGGCACUGCCCGGUAGCUAAAUGCGGAAGAGAUAAGUGCUGAAAGCAUCUAAGCACGAAACUUGCCCCGAGAUGAGUUCUCCCUGAGACUUUAAGUCUCCUGAAGGAACGUUAAAGACGAUGACGUUGAUAGGCCGGGUGUGUAAGCGCAGCGAUGCGUUGAGCUAACCGGUACUAAUGAACCGUGAGGCUUAACCUUACAACGCCGAAG
rnacentral:rRNA from 2 species